GCCUCAUUAGUUUAAUAAAAACAUAAUCCUUGUAAGAUUAAAAUCAACUCUGAUGAAGCU
rnacentral:tRNA from 1 species